UAGACUAGAGCUUGUUACAAAGUAUUUUACUUACAUUAAAAGGUUAGUUGUGGGAAUCAACUUAGUCUAA
rnacentral:tRNA from 1 species